rfam:Thermaerobacter marianensis DSM 12885, complete genome.
GAAGUGGGCAGCCGGCACCGGCUCAUGGCCGGGUAAGACCGGCGCCGCCGAUCCAUGAGGAUCGGCUGCC